UUCCUUGAUUUAAACAGUUUGACCUUAACCAGAUCAAUAAACGGUGGAAUUGGUAUAAUAACAGGUUUCCCCUAGUAACUGCGAGUGAAGCGGGAAAAGCUCAAAUUUAAAAUCUGGCGGUCUUCGGCCGUCCGAGUUGUAAUCUAGAGAAGUGUUAUCCGCGCUGGAACCGUGUACAAGUCUCCUGGAAUGGAGCGUCAUAGAGGGUGAGAAUCCCGUCUUUGACACGGACUGCCAGGGCUUUGUGAUGCGCUCUCAAAGAGUCGAGUUGUUUGGGAAUGCAGCUCAAAAUGGGUGGUAAAUUCCAUCUAAAGCUAAAUAUUGGCGAGAGACCGAUAGCGAACAAGUACCGUGAGGGAAAGAUGAAAAGAACUUUGGAAAGAGAGUUAAACAGUACGUGAAAUUGCUGAAAGGGAAACGCUUGAAGUCAGUCGCGUUAGCCGGGGAUCAACCUUGCUUUUGCUGGGCGUACUUUCCGGUUGAUGGGUCAGCAUCAAUUUUGACCGUUGGAUAAAGUUCAGAGGAAUGUGGCAUCUUCGGAUGUGUUAUAGCCCUUGGUCGCAUACAACGGUUGGGAUUGAGGAACUCAGCACGCCGCAAGGCCGGGUACUUGUACCACGUUCGUGCUUAGGAUGCUGGCAUAAUGGCUUUAAUCGACCCGUCUUGAAACACGGACCAAGGAGUCUAACAUGCCUGCGAGUGUUUGGGUGGAAAACUCGGACGCGUAAUGAAAGUGAAAGUUGAGAUCCCUGUCGCGGGGAGCAUCGACGCCCGGACCAGACCUUUUGUGACGGAUCCGCGGUAGAGCAUGUAUGUUGGGACCCGAAAGAUGGUGAACAUAUGCCUGAAUAGGGUGAAGCCAGAGGAAACUCUGGUGGAGGCUCGUAGCGAUUCUGACGUGCAAAUCGAUCGUCAAAUUUGGGUAUAGGGGCGAAAGACUAAUCGAACCAUCUAGUAGCUGGUUCCUGCCGAGUUUCUCUCUUUAGAGAGAAGGGU
rnacentral:rRNA from 1 species